CUAUGAUGAUGGCAUUUCUUCGGACACCUUUGGGUUAUUCAUGAAAACAGCUACUGUCUGAGCAGC
rnacentral:snoRNA from 1 species